AAUUUUGUGGGUCCCUUCUCGCUACCCAACAAUAUCCUCCUUCCAGUCAUCUCCCACGGAAAGCCACAGUGCCAUUUCAUGUCAACCCAAUGACUUUAUCUCUAUUAACCUAGCUUCCUUUGAACCAUCCUCUUCCUCUUCUCUUCAUGUAGCAGAAAUCUUGAAUUUCUAGAUUUUUUGGUGCAUUUCUUGUCUCAAAACCCAUUUCACCAAAUUGCCUUAAAUGGGUUACCUUACUUGUAAAGCAGAAUCAGCUGUUGCCAUCGCCACCCCAACUUCUCAAACUACUUCUUCCAAAACCGCCCAAAAUAAACAAGAAAAACCCAUCAAGAUCCAACAGUUUCAUUACAAUGAUCUUGUGGCGGCUACCAAUGGGUUUUCUGAUCAGAAACUCCUAGGCAAAGGCAGCCAUGGCUGUGUCUACAAGGCCGUUAUCCGUGGGCGCCACGUUGCUAUCAAGAAACCCUCAAAAAGUCUUGAAAUUGGCCAGGAAGUGGAUAAUGAGAUCGAGAUCUUGUCCAAGAUUCACAGCCCAAGAUUGGUAAACUUAUUAGGCUUUGCAAAUGAUACUAAAGAUAGAUUGCUUGUUGUUGAAUUCAUGAGCAAUGGCACUCUAUAUGAUAUUCUUCACUCAAAUUCAAGACCACCCAAUUGGGGUCGAAGAAUUCGAAUGGCUUUGCAAAUUGCCAAGGCCAUUGACACUUUACACUCACAAAACCCUCCAAUAAUCCAUAGAGAUAUAAAGUCUGCAAACGUUUUGAUUGAUAGGAAUUUUAAUGCAAGAUUGGGUGAUUUUGGUUUAGCACUAAGGUGUGGAAUUGAUGAUGAUUAUAGACUUAAAUCAACUCCACCUGCUGGUACUAUUGGUUAUCUUGAUCCAUGUUAUGUUACUCCAGAUAAUUUGAGUACUAAAACUGAUGUCUUUAGUUUUGGGAUUUUGUUGUUGGAGAUCAUUAGUGGAAGGAAGGCUAUUGAUGUGGGGCAUUCACCACCUUCUAUUGUGGAUUGGGCAAUUCCACUUAUAAAGAAGGGGAAGCUUGGUGCUAUUUAUGAUCCAAGAAUUGCCCCUCCUAAGGAUCCUGUGACAAGGAAGCAGUUGGCUUUGAUUGCUGCUAAAUGUGUGAGGUCUUGUAGAGAGAGGAGGCCAGCAAUGAAGGAGGUGAUUGAUUGGUUAACUGCUUUAAGUAAAUUGGUUCCUCUUCAUUCAUGGAAUGGAUUCAACAAUCCCUGUAUGAUGGUGGAGACGAUGGGACGUCCAAUUGAAUUGAGAAAUAACCAGUUUGGUGUAAGACCAGAGGGUGUUGGAGAAGAGAAUUUGGAUGGUGCAGAGGGUAAACUUGGUUCACAAUCAGUGAAGGAUUCACGGAGAGUGUAUUCAGAUUUGGGGUUUCGGAGCAAUUUGAUGGAACUUAUGGGUGGAACAGAGGGUGAGUCUGGAUUUUUGGGAGAGAUUGAUGGGAUUGAAUCUUCUCUCAAGUCUGCAAAUCGGGUUUUUAGCUCUAGAUUUGGUAGUGCAAGAUAUGGUAUCAAAGGAAGAGCUCAAUCCAAGGCUCAUGGUAAUGAAAAAAGUCUCUUCCGAAUUAGAAGACACCAGUCUGCUGGGGAUGGUUCAGAAAUAUUUUCAAAGCACAAUGACACAAUUGCUCGUUCAAGUUUUAGCACUCAAGGAUGUCAUGACAUCUAGCACACCUUAAAAAUAUGACUGAAGCAACUUGAGGGCAGAGCGAAGCUCCGGCUUCUAAGCUUCUAUUGAUCGUGAAUUUCACUGAUGUAGAUUUGUUAGUAGUUCAUUGAUUUGUGAGUUUCCAAUUAAUCAGCAGUGCUUACUGAAAUGUUAAUGUGUUGUUUGAUUUGAAAUAUGUGUAGAUCAAGGCACAUUGCUGAUGUCCCUAUUAUAGGCUUUUUAUGUUUUUUAUUUAUUACAUCUUUGGUAUGCAAAGCUGAUGUAUUAUGCAGAAUCGCUGUUGAAUAAAUGCAUCAAUGUGAUUCACAAUUCUUCUUC
rnacentral:misc_RNA from 1 species